rnacentral:rRNA from 1 species
AAUAGAUACCCGGGUAGUCCAUGCCGUAAACGUUGGGCGCUAGAUGUGGGGACCAUUCCACGGUUUCCGUGUCGCAGCUAACGCAUUAAGCGCCCCGCCUGGGGAGUACGGCCGCAAGGCUAAAACUCAAAGGAAUUGACGGGGGCCCGCACAAGCGGCGGAGCAUGCGGAUUAAUUCGAUGCAACGCGAAGAACCUUACCAAGGCUUGACACAUACGAGAACGCUCUAGAAAUAGAGAACUCUUUGGACACCCGUAUACAGGUGGUGCAUGGUUGUCGUCAGCUCGUGUCGUGAGAUGUUGGGUUAAGUCCCGCAACGAGCGCAACCCUCGUUCUAUGUUGCCAGCGGUUCGGCCGGGAACUCAUAGGAGACUGCCGGGGUCAACUCGGAGGAAGGUGGGGAUGACGUCAAAUCAUCAUGCCCCUUAUGUCUUGGGCUUCACGCAUGCUACAAUGGCCGGUACAAAGGGCUGCAAUACCGUAAGGUGGAGCGAAUCCCAAAAAGCCGGUCUCAGUUCGGAUUGAGGU